CAACCUCAACUCAUAUGGGACUACCCCCUGAAUUUAAGCAUAUUAAUUAGGGGAGGAAAAGAAACUAACAAGGAUUUUCUUAGUAGCGGCGAGCGAAAAGAAAUCAGUUCAGCACUAAGUCACUUUGUCUAUAUGGCAAAUGUGAGAUGCAGUGUACGGAACAUCAACAUUCUAGUAUGAGAAGUUAACGAUUUAAGUCCUUCUUAAAUGAGGCCAUUUACCCAUAGAGGGUGCCAGGCCCGUAUAACGUUAAUGAUUACUAGAUGGUGUUUCCAAAGAGUCGUGUUGCUUGAUAGUGCAGCACUAAGUGGGUGGUAAACUCCAUCUAAAACUAAAUAUAACCAUGAGACCGAUAGUAAACAAGUACCGUGAGGGAAAGUUGAAAAGAACUCUGAAUAGAGAGUUAAAUAGUACGUGAAACUGCUUAGAGGUUAAGCCCGAUGAACCUGAAUAUCCGUUAUGGAAAAUUCAUCAUUCGAAUUGUAAUAUUUUAAACCAUAUUAUAAUAAUAGUGUGCAUUUUUUCCACAUAAGGCCAUUGUCAUAUAUCAGCAUACAUAUUUAUCAUAAAAAACUACAAACUACAAAUUUGAAUUAUCAACUUGCCAUUUUCACACUACAUAAAACAAAUUACUUUGAUCAAACUACAAACUACAAUCUACAAACUACAAACUACAAACUUCAAACUACAAAAUACGAAUUACAAUCUACGAACUACAAACUACAAACUACAAACUACAAACUACAAACUACAAACUACAAACUACAAACUACAAACUACAAACUACAAAGUACAAAGUACAAAAUACAAACUACAAAUUACAAACUACAAACUACAAACUACAAACUACAAACUACAAACUA
rnacentral:ncRNA from 1 species